UACGGAGGGGGCUAGCGUUGUUCGGAAUUACUGGGCGUAAAGCGCACGUAGGCGGCUUUGUAAGUUAGAGGUGAAAGCCCAGGGCUCAACCCUGGAAUUGCCUUUAAGACUGCAUCGCUUGAACAUCGGAGAGGUAAGUGGAAUUCCGAGUGUAGAGGUGAAAUUCGUAGAUAUUCGGAAGAACACCAGUGGCGAAGGCGACUUACUGGCCCGGUACUGACGCUGAGGUGCGAAAGCGUGGGGAGCAAAACAGGAUUGAGAAACCCU
rnacentral:rRNA from 1 species